AACCGGGAUAAGCCCACCAUGAGAAUCGGUCGCCCUCGGCGUUCGAAUUGUAGUCUGGAGAAGCGUCCUCAUCGGCGGACCGGGCCCAACGUCCCCUCGGAAGGGGGCGGCCGGAGAGGGUGAGAGCCCCGUUGUGCUCGGACCCUGUCGCACCACGAGGCGCUGUCGGCGAGUCGGGUUUGGUUUGGGAAGUGCAGCCCCAACUCGGGCGGUAAAUUACCGUCCAAGGCUAAAUAUUGGCGAGAGGACCGAUAGCGAACAAGUACCGCGAGGGAAAGAUGAAAAGGACUUUGAAAAGAGAGUCAAAGAGUGCUUGAAAUUGUCGGGAGGGAAGCGGAU
rnacentral:rRNA from 1 species